AUUGUUUAUUUCUGAAGAGUUGCUGCUAACUACAGGCUGCAGCAGUGACUCACUCCAGAUGGGAGUAUAUUGCAUUUCUAAUUAAACAGCACAUACAGUACUUCUGUUUUAAAGCUCUUUAAGAUCCGUGCUGGCCAGAAACAUUAGGCUAAUGUGUUAGUUGUGGGGAAGUACAUACUUCUACAGGAUAUGCAUAUAGGUGAUAAAACAAAAGCUGUGGUUUACCAGGACAUUGCAGUUAACAUACCCCAACCCUAAUUUUGAGAAGUAUCUGUUCCCAGGUUUUGAAUUAGAAUCUACAUUAAUUAGAAAAAGACACUGUGACGCCUUCACUACUCUUAAUUCUAUUGUAUGUUCGUCUGAAGGAUUUACAUAAUGUUUUUCAGCUGUGCAGCUUCACAAUUUGUUUAAAAAGUCAAUAUAACAUCACUAACAAUUGAUAUAUAAUAAAACUGUGUAGGCAUCCUUCGUCUCGAGAGACUAUGGUAAUGUGCUCUGAAGAGAGGUCUUGGAACAACGUCUAGUGUGGCUGAGGAGACCGAUUCGAGAGUGACGAUCCCUUCCACACUGAAGACAAAUACGUACAAUCUGUCCACUGUCCAGCUCCCUGAUUUCUUUGUGGCAGAAAUGAAGGCUGGUCAGAAUUCUAACCAUAGUUUCCUGAAAAUAUUCACCCCCUUUGAAAGGCGAUCCAGUCUUCGAUUUCUACUGAAGAAAUGCCAGUUUAGAAAAACCUGUCCAGGCGUCAGGGCCCACAAUCUAUAUAUGCCAACGUUAGAGAACAAAAUGAUACCUGGGGAGACAGACGGAACUUUAUUCACUGCACACUGGCAAUUGCAAUUCCAAUGUGAAGAUCAAAUGCAUCUUACUUAUCUAAAAAGACUAGAAUCCCAAUGGAAUUCAGAACCAAUGUUCAUUGGAGAAAUUGUGAUGCUCUGGAAUGAUAUUUAGCUGAUCACAACAUGGCAGUUUCAUAAGUAUCCUGCAUAUGACUGGGACAAUGCAAAACGGUUUUUUGCGUAUGUGACAUUCCAGUGUUGGAGAGA
rnacentral:lncRNA from 1 species